GGGCCAUGUGCCGCCCGCGUGAUCGCCGCCUCCACCUCCUCUGCGGCCGAACUCUCUCCACGCGGGGGCGGGCUGCUCUGAGGCGGCCGCCGGGAAGGUUUGAGUCUGCAGCGGCGCCUUCGCCUCAGGACGCCGGAUACCGGCCUAUCUCAACCCAGCCGUUAGGGGGCGAUGUGCUUGAGAAAAUAUCCCUACCCUUCUCGUGA
rnacentral:lncRNA from 1 species